CAAGUGACCCCGGUUUACCACCGGGAUGUUCAUAACCCUUCGUUGUCCGACUCUGUUGCCUCCGGGGCGACCCUGCCUUCGGGCGGGGGCUCCGGGUGGACACUUCAAACUCUUGCGUAACUUUGCAGUCUGAGUAAAUUUAAUUAAUAAAUUAAAACUUUCAACAACGGA
rnacentral:misc_RNA from 1 species